rnacentral:rRNA from 1 species
AACGAACGCUGGCGGCAGGCUUAACACAUGCAAGUCGAGCGCCUCGCAAGAGGAGCGGCAGACGGGUGAGUAACGCGUGGGAAUGUACCCUUUGCUACGGAAUAGCUCCGGGAAACUGGAAUUAAUACCGUAUGUGCCCUUCGGGGGAAAGAUUUAUCGGCAAAGGAUCAGCCCGCGUUGGAUUAGCUAGUUGGUGGGGUAAUGGCCUACCAAGGCGACGAUCCAUAGCUGGUCUGAGAGGAUGAUCAGCCACACUGGGACUGAGACACGGCCCAGACUCCUACGGGAGGCAGCAGUGGGGAAUAUUGGACAAUGGGCGCAAGCCUGAUCCAGCCAUGCCGCGUGAGUGAUGAAGGCCCUAGGGUUGUAAAGCUCUUUCACCGGUGAAGAUAAUGACGGUAACCGGAGAAGAAGCCCCGGCUAACUUCGUG